rnacentral:rRNA from 1 species
UUUCCUACGGGGCGCAGCAGUGAGGAAUAUUGGUCAAUGGUCGGGAGACUGAACCAGCCAAGCCGCGUGAGGGAUGAAGGUACAGAGUAUCGUAAACCUCUUUUGUCAGGGAACAAAGGCGUCCACGAGUGGACGAAAGGAGAGUACCUGAAGAAAAAGCAUCGGCUAACUCCGUGCCAGCAGCCGCGGUAAUACGUAGGGAGCGAGCGUUGUCCGGAAUUACUGGGUGUAAAGGGAGCGUAGGCGGGACGGCAAGUCAGAUGUGAAAACUGAGGGCUCAACCUUCAGACUGCAUUUGAAACUGC